rnacentral:rRNA from 1 species
GCAGUUUGUGUACCGUAAUAUCUGAAUUUCUUAUGAAACCGAGCGUAAGCUUCGGCAAAUCGUGCAAAGCACUGUCCUUUUAACUUGAGAUGGUAGUGUGGGGGACUACCAUGGUGAUUACGGGUAACGGGGUAUAAGGGUAUUACACCGGAGAGGAUGCCUUAGAUACGGCAACCACAUCUAAGGGAGGCAGCAGGCGCGCAAAUUACCACGUCUUAAAUCAAGGCGGUAGUGACGAAACGUAUCAAGCUAUUCUCUAUGAGAGUAUGCAUUGAAAUGGUUCAUAACCAAAACCUCUGAGGAGGAUCUAUGAGAGGGCAAGUCUGGUGCCAGCAGCCGCGGUAAUUCCAGUUCUCAAGGCGUAUGGCCGUUGUGUUGUGGUUAAAAAGCUCGUGAUUGUAUCUGUGUAAGUACCUUAGGCUUGUCCUGGGGGAAUCGCCGAAUGGCGAGAGCUACUCUGAGCAAAUCAGAGUGCUCAAAACAAGCUUUUCGCUUGAAUGUUCGUGUAUGGAAUGAUUGAAUAGGACUUUGUGUUCUUAUCAGUUGGUUUUGAAUCAAAGUAAUGGUUGAACGGGACCCGCGGGGGCAUACGUAUCGUUACGCGAGAGGUGAAA